AGUGAACGCUGGCGGUAGGCCUAACACAUGCAAGUCGAACGGCAGCACAGUAAGAGCUUGCUCUUCCGGGUGGCGAGUGGCGGUCGGGUGAGGAAUACAUCGGACUCUACUUUUUCGGGGGAGAUAACGUAGGGAAACUUACGCUAAUACCGCAUACGCCCUACGGGGGAAAGCAGGGGAUCUUCGGACCUUGCGCGAUUGAAUGCGCCGAUGUCGGAUUAGCUAGUUGGCGGGGUAAUGGCCCACCAAGGCGACGAUCCGUAGCCGGUCGGAGAGGAUGAUCGGCGACACUGGAGCUGAGACACGGUCCUGACUCCUACGGGAGGCAGCAGUGGGGAAUAUUAGGCAAUGGGCGGAAGCCUGAUCCAGCCAUACCGCGUGGGUGAAGAAGGCCUUCGGGUUGUAAAGCCCUUUUGUUGGGAAAGAAAAGCAGCAGGUUAAUACCACGCGGUUCUGACGGUAACCAAAGAAUAAGCACCGGCUAACUUCGUG
rnacentral:rRNA from 1 species